AACGAACGCUGGCGGCAUGCCUAACACAUGCAAGUCGAACGAGACCUUCGGGUCUAGUGGCGCACGGGUGCGUAACGCGUGGGAACCCGCCCUUAGGUUCGGAAUAACUCCCCGAAAGGGGUGCUAAUACCGGAUAAUGUCUUCGGACCAAAGAUUUAUCGCCUUUGGAUGGGCCCGCGUUGGAUUAGCUAGUUGGUAGGGUAAAAGCCUACCAAGGCGACGAUCCAUAGCUGGUCUGAGAGGAUGAUCAGCCACACUGGGACUGAGACACGGCCCAGACUCCUACGGGAGGCAGCAGUGGGGAAUAUUGGACAAUGGGCGAAAGCCUGAUCCAGCAAUGCCGCGUGAGUGAUGAAGGCCUUAGGGUUGUAAAGCUCUUUUACCCAGGAUGAUAAUGACAGUACCGGGAGAAUAAGCUCCGGCUAACUCCGUG
rnacentral:rRNA from 1 species